UUAUUGUUAUUGUCAUUAUUAUAUUCAUUGUUAUUCACUUUUAUGUCAUUUACAUUGAAGUACUCAUUAUCAUUAUCAUUAUGCAAAUUCAUUAUACAUACUCUAUCAUUUGUCUUUACUUUAUUGUUACCAUUAUAUUUAAAAGCAACAAAAACAUGAUAGCAUUAUAAGACCAAAAAAAGUCCAUUUCACUUCCCCACUUGGACUUAG
rnacentral:lncRNA from 1 species